UUUGGAUUGAUAUAACACAGGUU
rnacentral:snRNA from 1 species